AGCCUUCUGUAUCCAUGCUGAAAUUUUGUCAGCAAUCAGUUCAUUAGAACUGGUGAGAUUUCCCAAAUAAGUAUAGUG
rnacentral:pre_miRNA from 1 species